AACGAACGUUAGCGGCGCGCUUAACACAUGCAAGUCGCACGAGAAAGGGCUUCGGCCCCGGUAAAGUGGCGCACGGGUGAGUAACACGUGGGUAAUCUGCCCUCGAGCGGGGGAUAACAUCUCGAAAGGGAUGCUAAUACCGCAUAAGACCACAGCCUCGAAAGAGGCAGCGGUCAAAGCAGGCCUCUGUAUACAAGCUUGCACUUGAGGAUGAGCCCGCGGCCCAUCAGCUAGUUGGCAGGGUAACGGCCUACCAAGGCGACGACGGGUAGCUGGUCUGAGAGGAUGAUCAGCCACACUGGAACUGAGACACGGUCCAGACUCCUACGGGAGGCAGCAGUGGGGAAUCUUGCGCAAUGGGCGAAAGCCUGACGCAGCGACGCCGCGUGGGUGAUGAAGGCCUCGGUUGUAAG
rnacentral:rRNA from 1 species